GCGGCGUGCUUAACACAUGCAAGUCGAACGGGGCACCCCUGAAGGAGUUUUCGGACAACGGAUGGGAAUGCUUAGUGGCGGACUGGUGAGUAACGCGUGAGGAACCUGCCUUUCGGAGGGGGACAACAGUUGGAAACGACUGCUAAUACCGCAUGAUACAUCGAAGUCGCAUGGCUUUGAUGUCAAAGAUUUAUCGCCGAAAGAUGGCCUCGCGUCUGAUUAGCUUGUUGGUGAGGUAACGGCUCACCGAGGCGACGAUCAGUAGCCGGCCUGAGAGGGUGAACGGCCACAUUGGGACUGAGACACGGCCCAAACUCCUACGGGAGGCAGCAGUGGGGGAUAUUGCACAAUGGGGGAAACCCUGAUGCAGCGACGCCGCGUGAGCGAUGAAGUAUUUCGGUAUGUAAAGCUCUAUCAGCAGGGAAGAAAAUGACGGUACCUGACUAAGAAGCCCCGGCUAACUACGUGCCAGCAGCCGCGGUAAUACGUAGGGGGCAAGCGUUAUCCGGAUUUACUGGGUGUAAAGGGAGCGUAGACGGCUGCGCAAGUCUGAAGUGAAAGGCGGGGGCUCAACCCCCGGACUGCUUUGGAAACUGUACAGCUAGAGUGUCGGAGAGGCAAGUGGAAUUCCUAGUGUAGCGGUGAAAUGC
rnacentral:rRNA from 1 species